ACGCUCGACACCUACGGGGGGCAGCAGUGGGGAAUAUUGCACAAUGGGGGAAACCCGUGAUGCAGCAACGCCGCGUGAAGGAAGACGGUUUUCGGAUUGUAAACUUCUGUUCUUAGUGAAGAUAGUGACGGUAGCUAAGGAGCAAGCCACGGCUAACUACGUGCCAGCAGCCGCGGUAAUCUGAGGCGGGCUGGCAAGGC
rnacentral:rRNA from 1 species